rnacentral:other from 1 species
UAUUCUGCCUUGUUCGAGUAAUUAUAGUUUUUAUAAUCCAACACAUCUUAUUAGGGAAUUCGACUCCAUUUGUGGAUUGCAGACCUCCCGCUUUUGCGGAAGAAGGGAGCGUGAAUCAUAUGGGCGUUUACCCACCUGCUUCGUGCGGGUUUUAUGCACUAUAUGACGGCAAGGCGGAUUAU